AUACCAGCUCUCCGAGUGGUGUGGACGUUUAUUGGGCCUAAAGCAUCCGUAGCUGGCUGAACAAGUCCCCUGUUAAACCCACCGAUUUAAUCGUUGGUGUGCGGGGGAUACUGCUCGGCUAGGGGACGAGAGAGGCAGACGGUAUUCCCGGGGUAGGGGUGAAAUCCUAUAAUCCCGAGAAGACCACCAGUGGCGAAGGCUGUCUGCUAGAACGCGCCCGACGGUGAGGGAUGAAAGCUGGGGGAGCGAACCGGAUUAGAUACCCGGGUAGUCCCAGCUGUAAACGAUGCAGACUAGGUGUUUGGACGGCCACGUGCCGUUCUAGUGCCGCAGGGAAGCUGUUAAGUCUGCCGCCUGGGGAGUACGAUCGCAAGAUUGAA
rnacentral:rRNA from 1 species